rnacentral:misc_RNA from 1 species
UCUUAACUGCAGAGCCAUGCCUAUG